CCAACAAAGAAGGGUUUGCAUUCAUGUCAAAAUGUCUAAAACAUUUAACAGUCAAUGACGUACUUUAGAAGUGCAGGCACUGUUGCAGUAUAGGAAGUGCAGUGGCCAUGCUUCACACAGCAAGAUCCCAUAAACAGCAAUGUGAUAAGACUUAGAUAAUCUGUGUUGAUGAUGUCAGUUGACCAGGUAUCCAUGGAGAAAAUCUUUGUUCUUCUGAACAAAAUUUGCCAUGUUUCUGUUUUAUGCCCAGGAGAAAAGGUAGGCAGAAAUUUCUUUUAACAUGUUGUAAUUACCGGAGAAUUGCAAUGAUGAGUGUUGGCCCUCACAGGCUGUUCACAAUCUACGUUGAUGAUUUAGACAAAGAGACAGAGAAUUGGGAGAAGUUUGCUGACAGUGCAUUUAGGUGGGAAGAGGACACAAAGAUGCUGUGAAGAAAUCUUAGACAGGUUCAGUGAGGAGGGAACAAGGUGGCAGAUGGAUAUGAUAUGCAUGGCGUUAUUUUACAGUGGGUGUAACUAUAGAAAAGCAGAAUAGGGGUGAAACUUCUAAAUGUUGGUGCUCAGAGAUUCCUCAGUGGACACAUACGAGCAACACAGAAAUUUAACAUGCAAGUACAAUAAGCAACUAGGAGAGCAAUUGGCACAUUGGCCUUUAUUGUAAGAGGAUUGGAGUGCAAGUGUAAAGAGGUGACAUUACAAUUGUACAGAGUUCUGGAGUAUUGUGUGCAGCUUUGCUGUUGUAAAAGGAAGAAUAUACUUGCAUUGAAGGCUUUAGAACAGCAGUUCACUAGAUUAAGGAAGGGAUAAGAAGAUGGUAUUGUGAGGAGAGACUGAUGAAAUUGAGGGUCUGUUUUUUCUGGAGUUUAGAAGAAUAAAAAGUGGUAUAAUUGAAACAUACGAGAUUGUGAAAGGUAGACAAUGAUUGCUUCCCCUGGCCAGGAAUCUCAAGGUCAGGGACACAGGCUCAGGAUAAAGAGUUAAUACCUUGAAACUUAGAUGAAGAGAAAUUUCUUAUGUUAAAGGCUUUUGAAUCUUUGGAAUCCUCAUCAAUUUGAGUGCAGUGGUGGAAACCACAUAAGUGCAGUCAGCAUUCUUGUUCCAAGAGUCAGAAAGGAAACAGACAACCCUAAGGAAUGGAAAUCUGAAAUAACGUGCCUCUGGAGGACAGCAAUGCUAAGACAUUAAUUACCUUCAGCCAAAGUUUCAAUAAAACUGUUCCGACAAAGUAGAAACGUAUCAGAGUGGUGGAGUUUGAAUGUUCUUCUGGCCUUCAGCUCAGUAUAGGAUGAUCUGGGAUUAGAGACCCCUACAGUCACCACCACAGACGUCAGAUUCGCCUUCGUGAGAGUGAACCCACUGAAAGUGACUGGCCCAGAUGGAGUCAUCGGCUGUGCACUCAGAUCCUGUGCACACCAGCUGGUAGAAGUAUUUGCGGACAUCUUUAACCUUUCCUUUCUACAAAGUGAGGUUCCCACCUACUUCAAGAAGACCACUAUCAUCCUGGUGCUGAAGAAAAAUCAAGCAGCAUGCAUAAAUGACUACUGCUCUGACAUCCAUCGUUAUAAAGUCAUACAGUCAUACAGCAUGGAAACAGACCCUUUGGUCCAACCAGUCCACGCUGACCAUGUUCCCAAACUAA